rnacentral:rRNA from 1 species
CGUGGAGAACCUGCCGUAUACUGGGGGAUAACACUUAGAAAUAGGUGCUAAUACCGCAUAAGCGCACAGCUUCGCAUGAAGCAGUGUGGAAAACAAAAAGCUAAAGCUUUUGGUGGUAUACGAUGGAUCCGCGUCUGAUUAGCUUGUUGGCGGGGUAAAGGCCCACCAAGGCGACGAUCAGUAGCCGGCCUGAGAGGGUGAACGGCCACAUUGGGACUGAGACACGGCCCAAACUCCUACGGAAGGCAGCAG